UACGUAGGGGGCAAGCGUUGUCCGGAAUCAUUGGGCGUAAAGAGCGUGUAGGCGGCUUGGUAAGUCUGCUGUGAAAUCCCCGAGCUCAACUUGGGAAUUGCAGUGGAUACUGGCAGGCUGGAGUAUGGUAGAGGAAGGUGGAAUUCCCGGUGUAGCAGUGAAAUGCGUAGAGAUCGGGAGGAACACCAGUGGCGAAGGCGGCCUUCUGGACCAAUACUGACGCUCAUGCACGAAAGCGUGGGGAGCAAACAGG
rnacentral:rRNA from 1 species